GGGGAAGGCGAGGCACCGCCUCAGGUCCCGGCGCUAAUUGGCUGCCUACCAGAGGCCCCUGCGCCAUGGACGCCGCUCCGGACGCUGAUUGCAUCAGCAAGAAAAGCUGUGGGGAGACAGGGCUUGGCGCAAUCUAAGGUUGUAGUUUUCAAGUCAGAGCUGCCCUACAAUCAAGUCACUUCGUUCUCAUAAGUGCUCUGGAGAGCUUUCAGCUGGGUGAAAUCUUCGCACAAACCUCUGCGGUUCAGGGGUUAUGGUUCUUGCCACAUGAAAAUAAUGAGACUCAGAGAAGAGAAAGAAGGACUCCUUUAAGCUCACAUGGUGAAUAUGUCAUAGCCAGACCCAGGGCUCAAGCACCUUCAUGACUGGCUUGGUGAUCUUACUACAUGGACCCUGAAGGUAUUUCAGACCAAGUCUCCACAUACAUCAGCAGAAAUCAAGUGUACAACAUGUGGGAAGCUGGAAAAGAAGUGAGGUUUGGCUUGAGCCCCUGCCCUCAGAAAGCAUCUCAGGGAGGGAGCAGGUGGCAGGCACAGGGAAGGCCUCGGAGCAGUACGUGAUGCCUGUGUGGGCCUCCUGUCCUCCCGAGGAGUUGGAAAUACGUAUUUCAGUCUCUUCCUCACCUCCUGCUCCCUAAUGGUUGAUUUAAGUCCUGAAACCAGAUCGUAUUAUUUUACCCUGGCCAACCCAAUUACUUUUUCAGGUUUAUGUUGGCACUCAAGUUAAAAAGUCAUUCCUUUAUUUCCUCCCCAAUCUUCCCCCAAAAUAAAUAAAAGAGCCCGAGUGGCCUGGGGCUCCCGCAGAAGUGUGGCAGGUUUGCUGACACUGACCUCUGAGCUCUUACCACAAGAACGCUGGCCCCCAGAGUGGUAUGAAGAUGAUUAUUCUAUAAAUGGAAAAUUCCGCUCUGUUCAGGCAGCCCUGCAGCCUGCAUACUUUCAAGGUAUGUAGACUUCUCAAGCUCUGAGGAGUGGGAGCCCCAGUUCUGAGAAAAACUUUUGCAAGGGAAGUUUAAAACUACCAGCUGCUGUGUCUGAUCCCCCUUGGUCAGGCCAAAGAGGGGAUGGCAAGUAAGUUAGGCCUCCUUUCUUCUCCCACAUGGUUUUUUUAGCCCUUGUGGUUUUACCAGGGGGAAUAAAAACUUAAGCGAAUGUCAAGAAGAACAAAUGUCUUGAUUUUGAGUUGCAGGCUAUGUGGGUGGGUUGCAACAAAUGGCAAGGAGCUGCCCUGGAAAGAUGUGGAAGGGAGCUCAUGUGUCCUGGGAGUCUAACUGUGUGCUGUUUCCCCAGGCUGCUCACCUUGAUUGCGAUCAGCCUUGCCCACAGUAGGUGUUUGAUUCAGAAAGAAUGACUGUAAGUGGAGGCAAAGUGCAUGAAGGCUUUUGUUUCCUGGCAUAUGCUGGCCUUAAUACACUGGGGACCUUUGCUGUUAGUGACCAAAGAAGGGCCAGGGUGGGUGCCUGAUCCAGCUCUGGGUUAAAUAAACAGUUAGUUUUGUCACUAAGCACAGGCCUCCGGCUGGCCAUGAGCUCUCCAGCAAUUUUUGAGGUGGCAGAACUGACGUCAGAGAUGUUUUCAGCACCUUAAUGAAGUCUGGUAGCCUUUUUUUCCCCUUUCCGGAAGCUUGGAAUGAAACGAAUAGCCUAAGUAUGAAAGUUUCUUCAAGGGAUUACCUUC